UGUAGCUCAGUGGUAGAGUGUUCACCUUCCAUGUGGAAGGCCCUGGGUUCAAUCCUCAGCA
rnacentral:tRNA from 1 species